rnacentral:lncRNA from 1 species
AGAGUGAAAAUUAUUGCAAGGUCUAUAGUAGAGCAUAUCAUCCAGAGAGUUCCAAAUACUCUUGAUCAUUUUACAAAAGAAUAACCAGAAAAAGAUGAAACCCAUUCAAACACCGACGCACAGUCGUCAUUGGUCCCUGUUUCAAAAGCAGCAGUUUAAUUCUCCAACAGGUGCAAGUGAGAGCCCUCAUGCUAAUUCUUUCCAUGUGUGCGUGAUCUGUAAAGGACCAACCAAAGAUGUGAAUCUAUCAUGCAUAUGGAAACUCAAUAGAAUAUACCAUGAUCUAACAAUUCAACACAAUGUCAAAUGUAGCAUUUCCGAAUAAACUCAUCGACCCUGCAAUGCACAUGAAGGAUUGUUAGAGACCAGGAAGUUAACCAUUUUUGUUCGAUGUCGUGACUAUCCACAAACCGACCCACCAUCGAGCCAUGCUGCAUACCUCAAUCCUGUAGGUUUUGUUUUCCAAACAAGCCAAAUGAAAUGCACACUAACCCAUUAACAAUAGACAUUAAACCAUGCAACGAGUACUCACCAAAGUUUUGCUCGUCUAUGUGAUGCCCUGUGUACUUCUCUUAAAAAGAACGUCUCCAUGCACGAAAAUGUUUCAAACAACAUUAUAGAUGCUUGUGAAUGAGAUACAUACUGCACCAAACCACACAAUAGUCAAGACUCAAGAUGCAAGCAGGCCAUUAUUGAAUCAGAGCGAAGGACUAGGAAGCUCACCAUUUAGUUAUUCCGUGAGAUUCCCCAAACCAAUUUGCAAGCGAGCAUUGCAACCGGCACCGUUUCUGCAGCAAUUCUUACCUCCGAACAAAUUGCACCAAAGCCAUGUGAAAAUCAUAAGCAAGACCCUGCAACAAGCUCCAUUAGAAUCAAAAUCCUGAAAUCGUACAAAAUCUCAUAAGUCAUUAUCGAAAUAAAAUGUCAAACCUCUGUACAAUCUCCAUCGUGCUCAACAAGUUAUGAAGAAGUGUGUUGAUGAUAAACGAAGUUUGGCGGAGUUCAUAGUUGGAGAUACAGUCUUUGCCAAGCUGCAGCUUUAUCAACAACAUUUUGUUUCCUUGCAUCAAAAUCACAUGUUAGAGUUUAGAGGCAACGAUGGUUCUCAAGACUGAACUCUGCCGAUUCAAGGACGCAAAGACCUACCAAGGAAGAGGCAUCAAAUUUAAUCGCAGCAAUUCUCAGGUGUUCCUGUUUGUGAGCUCAAACUGUCAAUUGUUGGUGCUAGCAAGUCAUGCCAAGACUAACCCAAACCCACCAUCCUCCACAAGAACAAGCGCACGGUUAAACAAGAGCUGCAUGUUGACAGGAUACUUCCAUUGCUAAGAGCUUGCAAAGCUG